UCCCUGUUGGCUCAGAGGUUAAAGCGUCUGCCUGUAAGGCGGGAGACCCAGGUUCAAUCCCUGGGUCGGGAA
rnacentral:tRNA from 1 species